rnacentral:lncRNA from 1 species
GUUCCGGCGGCCGGACUUCCCACCGUGUCACCCGCCGCGGUAUCGGUGACCCAGCCCAGAGGAACGCCCACCGCGGAGGGAAGCUGCUCGGCCGACCCAUCGCCGACCGGGGGCUGAGCUGUCCCUCUAGGGCCGCUUGUCCCUCAUGCCCGGCUCAGGGGGCACCUGACGUGCACAGACGAGGAGCUGCCCGAGCGCCGGACGUCAUCCUGAGCCGCGUCACAGCUUAAACAACCAGGGGCUCCGUGUGACCAACUCCAGGCGUGGCCGUAGGGGGUCACCCCUAUGGACCCCACCGGGCCCAGGGGGACCCUCCGCCCUCCUCGUCACCCAAGAUGGUGCUAGCCAUCCACUUCCGUCCACGUCUGGAGGGGAAGGGACCGCGGGCUUUAGCAGCAUAGCCAGAAGUAGUACGCAUCAUUUCCUCCCGCAUCCCAUUGGCCAGCCCUUGGUCAUGUGACCACUCCUUGCUGCAAGGGAGGCUGGGAAUUGCAGUCCUUAUUCUGGAAGAGCAGAUGUCCGGCUGUGCACCGUGGGCUCUGUUGCUACAGCAGGAGGAAGACGAAUGGACUUUGGGGGCAGAGUCACUGCCCAAGGCUGGUCCAGGGCUUGUUUCCAAGCCUUGAGGCCACUUCCAUUUAUAGCUAAAUAAUUCAAGAUGAAUGAAGGGAAUAUGAGAGAGUGACUUGAGCUGGUUCAGGUGAUCACGGACCAAGUUAGGAAGGGAAACAGUUGGUUUCAGACAAGCUGGAAUUUUAGGUCCAUGAGAUCCACACCUAACCUAGUCGGAUGAUACACAUUUAAAAUUUGAAAACAAAAAGACAAGCCAGUUCCAACUAGAAGGGAGAUGGAAAUUGCUUGUCAAAACAUGUAUGCCACGGCAGCCAGGAGAGCCCACCAGGAAUGCCUGAUGACAUUUUAAGUAGCUUUUGUGCUGCUGCACUCUCUCUAACUGUCACGGCUUUUAUUAUCUGUCGCUAUGACAGCCACUUAAUGCAUUUCAUGAUGGCCAUGUGUCAACUGUCCUCCCUUGGCAAUGUCACUCCAAACACAUUGUUCUUCAAACAACCCUGCCCUUCCGUGCUCUCUGAUACCGCCUGGGGAAGCCCACCAUGGGGCAGACUGGCCACUCUGUGCAUCUAUCCCUGGAGAUGUAAUCGGCCAGACGCCCCAUCUCAACGUGCACACAGACCCAGACUCCACGAGGACAAGUGCCCUCUGGAGGGAGACUUGGAAUGCAUAGCUAGUCUGACUCGUCCUGCCGAGACAUUCAAAAAUGAGCCUUCGCCAUGUCUGCACACACAGAAGUCAGUGCUGACUACUGUGGGAGGACCAAGCUUUCUCUCUCUAUUUAUGAGCGAUUUUUCUGCACAACAGCCUCAAACUUGCCUUUCACUUCUAGGAGCAAUUGUUCACUGAGUCUCAGAUAAAGACAGAAUUGUCUCAAAGAUACAGUCUGGGGAUACAGUAACGUGUUUCCAGCACUCAGACAUCUGCUUCUUCUUUCUGAAAGAGGAUCAGCAUUUGUGCAGCCAGACACCUAAGUCUGUCCUGGAGAGGAAGCCCCUGAAAGGGCCCCAGGAGGCACAGACACACACAGAGCCCUGGGCCCACAUCUGGGGUGACGAUCAGAAGAAAGGUGAGAGGACAUCAGAGAAGCAGUGGUGACAAGCCAACUGACACGUGGACCCUGACGAGUGCUCAGUGAUCUCUAUAUGCUUCCUCAUCAGACUCUCCUUCAAGGUGAAGGUUCCUAAGCAGAGACUGUCAACCAAAUGUUGACAUGAAUGCUGUGACCAGAGGAAUCCUUUGUCUCUCCAUAGGGGAUGCUAGAGCUUGCAGUACCGUCUCCACGAAGGCAUGCCUGUAGACCCGAACCUUAUGAAGGGAAUGCAGGAGCACAUUCAGGAAGGGUCACUCCCCAGCUGAUGGCCGUGUGAGGAACCUGCUCUCCAGGGGUCAGCUGCUCUCCUGGACUGCGUGCCCUGGUGCUCCAGCCCAGCAUAGCACAGUUGCCCAUGUCCUGUUUAAAGAACUCUGGGGCUCUGCAAGGACAGCCAGGUCUCCAUCAUGUGGCCUUCUGCAGGUCAGUCAGUCAGGCAUGGGAACUGCAGAGUCCACUCCCUCCCGCUGUCCAGGCCAGGCCCUCAGGUGUCCCAAACAGGAGUGCCCACAUCCCAUCCUGGGAACCUUCCCUUCCCAGGGAGAGGCUCCAGCUUGACUGGGAGGCACCUUCAGAAAGUCCUGGGGGAUAUGGAGAAGCAGCAGCCAUCUGAUCCCAAGGCCUUGUCCAUGGAAUCCAGGGAGGCUGGAGUGGGGGAUGCUCAGCACAACCUCAGCCCAUUGCCAUCAUCUUCUUGUCCAUGCCCAAGUGAGUUUCCCAAGGUCUUAAUCAUAAUAAGUGUCAGAUCAGACCCUGGGCUCAUGCCCAGGCAGGCAGGCGUCCAUGCUGUUAGGCUCAGUGCUGUGAGGAUGCUGCCCUGACCUUGUCUGGGGGAUUGUCCCCAAGUCCCAUCACUAUCCCCUUGGAAACAAGGCCAGUGCUCCAUUUCCCCUCUAGGGUCCAUCCCCAGACCCUGGCAUUGACAGAGCCCACUGACAGGUCAACGUCUCCCCUCUUCUCUCCUUACAAGAGAAAGCCCUCACUCAUCAGUGCAUUUUACAUGUGGCUUCUUCAUCCUUGUGAGCUUUAUUUUCUAUCUUUGCCACAAAAUCCCUUCAUUUUUCAGCAAAGCUUAACUCCCUCCAUUUUUCUCUGGCUCUACACUCCUUCUCUUCUCUCCCCUUCCUCACCAAAUCCCUUAGGCAGCCUGGCUAACCCCUACUUAUCUUUCAGACUCAAUUCAGGCAUCAUCUACUGAGUGGAGCCUCUGCCCAGCUGGGUUAGAAGCCCUUUCUCUGUCACCACGUGCUUCUCCUCAUCAUUCAUUCAGUAAACAUGUACUGGGCCCUCCCUGUGCCGGGCACAGAGGAUACAAAGGUGACUGUGGUGUGGUCCUUUGUGAGGAGUUCCUUGUCAUGCACUUUGCCACAUUCAUGAGCAUCUCACAGUGGACACAUGAGCCCACCCUCAUGGCCACCAUUCAUUUAUCCAUAAAAGUGGUCACCUGACCAAGGCUGAGCCAAUCAUAGUCCUUCUCUGAGACCUUCCAAAUUGGAACUAAUAUGGCGUAUCUUUCUCCAAUGGCCGAGGCUCCAUGACAUGAGGCUCAGGGGCUGUGAACCUCCAUGUUUCCUGCCACCUGGAGAAGCUGGUCCACCGUGGGAGAGAAUAGAGUCAGUGCAGGGAGUGACGAGGACACGAUGCUGCUCCUGAAGCUCACACCCAUCUGCCUCUGGCAGUGUGUGGGCACACCUGAGUCAGGUGGGGUCCUGAUGUGACCAGAUGGCACGCCCAAUGUGGAUAACUGAAGAUAGCUUUUCUAUUUAUCCUUAGAGGUGUAGGCAGGUGCAGAGGACCCACAGCAAUGCUGAAGCACCCCAGGGACUAGCAAGAAUGAGGAGUCUUAUCCCUGGGCCCGUAUAGCUCCCAGCUUUCCCUUGGGAGUCUCAUGACACAGUGGCACCUCACUUUGUGAUCCCACCCCAUCAUGAAGCAAACUCAAUCUCUAGAUGUGAGCCAACUUCAGGCCCUAGACAUCAGUUACCUAUUUGGAUACUGGACAAACCUACCCCUUUGAACACAAGCCCAGCCUGGCCAUGUUGCUCCUAAAGCUGUAGAGCUUGGCGCCUGUGCUUGCUGGAGAAGCGCUGCUGGGGGGCUGGAAAAAGAGUGACAAAUCAAAGCAGUUUCAGGGUAAAAGCUGGGAGACAUUCCAAGAGGCCAUGAACAGGGGGCCCUGAUUCGGGGGAAGUUUACAACUCUGUCAUGGAGGGAGUAUUCAUCAUUCUCAGAUUGAGUCUCAGCCCAUCAAGGUGUCUGGAGAUCCUGGCCCGGUCCUCCCAGACUGUUCCUCUGAUAGAGUGGUUGUGUUUGCUAUGGGAAAUUCUCCGAGCCUGGACAGUCUCACACCCACUGAGCGGGGACACCAAUGCACCUGACCCGGUUCCCUCCAGCCCUGCUCUGUGUCAGGAAGGUCGCUUCUCCUGCAGAGGAAGAAACAUGGUUUAUUCAGUCCCAGCGUAUUUCAGUGGGAACUUGCAUGGGACGCUCUACCUUUUGUGUGUUAAGCAAGAUGGUUUGAGCUCAUCACAGAACCUAAAGCUGAGCUCGGCUCAGGACUGACUCCACGAGCUGCUGAACGCUGGGCGUCCCUUUGAGGACAGGUGGUCAACCUGGCAAUGCUCCUAAAGCCCCAAAUCCUGGGACAGCUCUCCCACCACGCUUUCCUCUAGACUGUGAGCUGGCCCAGGGUGGCCUCAGGGUGCCUGGUUCAGGGAUGGGCACAGGAGGAAGUGUGCCCCACAGAGCUCCAUCCUGAGUUGGUUUUGUGACUGUGAGGAGACAAGCUGCUCUUACAGGGUGAGAACGAGAGAGACAGAGACAGAGAAAUGAAUACAGAGCUUGCGGACCAGCCAAGCCUCUACUUCUCAGAUGCGG